rnacentral:rRNA from 1 species
GUUAAAAAGCUCGUAGUUGGAUUUCUGUGGGGACGGAGCGGCCGGCCGCACAUCGCGGUUCGAGCUAGCGCUUUCCCUACAUCCUGCCGCGAACCGUGCUACCAUUAGUUUGGUGGCGCUGGGGAUCGGCUCGAUUACUUUGAGAAAAAUAGAGUGUUCAAAGCAGGCCACACGCCUUGAAUAAGUUAGCAUGGAAUAAUAACUAAGGACUUCGGUUCUAUUUUGUUGGUGUUCGGGACUGAAGUAAUGAUUGAUAGGGACAGUUGGGGCGGUCAGUAUUCCAAAGCGAGAGGUGAAAUUCUUAGACCUUCGGAAGACUAACAGCUGCGAAAGCGUUCCGCAAGGAUGUUCCCUUUGAUCAAGAACGAAAGUUGGGGGAUCGAAGACGAUCAGAUACCGUCGUAGUCUCAACUAUAAACUAUACCAGCUAGGGAUCGGCCAACGUUAUUUUAUACCGACUUGGUCGGCACCUUAUGAGAAAUCAAAGCAUCUGGGUUCCGGGGGGAGUAUGGUCGCAAGGCUGAAACUUAAAGGAAUUGACGGAAGGGCACCACCAGCCGUGGAGCCUGUGGCUUAAUUUGACUCAACACGGGAAAACUUACCAGGUCCAGACAUAGUAAGGAUUGACAGAUUGAUAGCUCU